CCUGCGCACUGCUCCGCCGUUCUUUCCGCCGCAAGGCGGGGAGGGAGGAAAGUCCGGGCAGCAAAGGGCACCGUGCUUCCUAACGGGAAGGAGCGCCGCUGGUGACGGCGGCGCUAUGGAAAGUGCCACAGAAAGGGAAACCGCCGACCCGUCGUAAGGCGGAGGUAAGGAUGAAAAGGUGGAGUAAGAGCCCACCAGUGUUCCGCGUGAGCGGGGCAGCUUGAUAAACCCCACGGGCUGAAAGACCAAAUAAGCUGGAACGCCUGCCGCAAGGCAGGCUAAGCGCGGCCCGCGUGAUCCAGCGGGUAGGUCGAUAGAGGCUGUGCGUGAGCACGGUCCCAGAUAGAUGGCGGAGGUCCGCCGCAAGGUGGAUACAGGAUCCGGCUUAUAGGUGCGCAGGUUUU
rnacentral:RNase_P_RNA from 1 species